CUCCGACCCCCGCCACGGGCACAUGGUACGGUCCCCAUCGCAGGGUGGGGGAGCUGUGUGGGAGAGGAGCACAGAUUCCGUCUAACGGAGAAGCACGGAAAGGGAAACGGGCGAGAAACAUGAGUCGAAGUCGCCCUUGUGAAGGUUUCCACCUUGAAGGAAUAAAAAAUUUCCCGCAAUUCUAAGAAGGACGCGCAAAAGAGGACGUUGAAUGUGAGAGAAAAGAGAGCGGAAGCAGACGGAAGAAGAGGCGCGUCAAAGGCGUCUGACAGCAAGCUCGGGAACUUCGCUGGAUCUGGGUUCUCUACUUUUCAGACGUGUCUCAAGCUUUGGUUCGGUGGUGUUCGGACGUUGUUUGUGAUUUUUUUUGGGAGGGGGUGAUUUUAUUUCGGCGAGAUUACCUCAGACUUCCUCUUGGAUCGUGUUACGCGUUGGUAAACAGAAGGCGCCGUCGGAGUUUGGAAGUACGAUGCAGGCCGCCAGCGGCUUGUCCUCUGCGUUUCUUCAACACGGGAAGACAUUUGCCAUCUAACCCCGAACACCGGAUUUAAACUUUUGUCUCCCCCCCGGCUUUGUCACAAAAAGUGAAAGGUGUGCAGUUAAGGCGCAUUGCCCCUGCUUGUAAUCACGCUGUUCCUGCAAACCGCCCCGGCGGCCCGUGAGUUGUGGAUAUCCGGUGAGCGGAACUUCCCCCCCCCCGGAGCUGCACGUCUCCGUGGAAUCAACACGUCGCGGCGAGCUGGUUCGUUUACAGGCGUUUGUGUAAACGGCUUGUUGUCACAGAUACGGCCCCUGCGCGGCGUGCGGGGAUUACGUUAUUGUCUGGCUUUUCUAAAAAAAAAAGAGAAAAGGGCUCCUGUUCACCUUGGCAGAGGCCAGCCACCUCCCGCUGGAGGCGGGUGAGGGGGAGCGGAGGCCUCGGGGGGGCUGUUGGCUGUCCGGGCCCUGUGACAUUACCAGCGGAGGGCCGCGUGUGUCCGUGUCACUGGGAUUAAUCCGAGCUGUAGCAUCAUUCCCCCACUGGGUCCAGUGACGGGUCCAGCCCCAGAACGCGCCUGUAAUCGGAGCUAUAUUUAGCGUAAGGGAUGGGGUAAAAGCAGGCAGCGGGAAACCCAACUCCCCUCCACUUCCUUCUCUUGCCCCCCUGCUGUCACACUGCCUCGCUCAGCCGCCCCGGCAGCAUGCUGGGCGAGCCUGGUUAGCACACACGCGACUUGCAGCUAGUUAAUGUAUUUUCAGAAGUAGGGUGGAAUAAUAACAACAAUUGGAUGAACUUAUUCCGCUGCGAAAUAAAGGAUCCGUUUGAACCAUGCUGACCACGGCGUCUUGUUAACCCGGGAAUACUAGCUGCACUGUGUUCUACUGGUCAAGGCUGCACCGGACACACAAAAUACCCUGUACUGGAUUACGACUAAGAUGUCUGAAGAACUAUUAGCUGUGUAUUUUUGGUUGAACCUGCCCUGGACUAAGUGAACCCAUCACAAGCAAGUCGUACUCAGAGUAACCACCCAUUACCAUACAAAGAAAGAAAAGGCCUACUUUUUCUGACUAAUUUAAAAUAUCAGUCACCAGCGCCCUGGAGCAGUACUAAUCUCCAGCACACAGGAAGAAUGCAUGAAACUGCCGAAACCAACAAAAUAAAAAAGCUAACCUGAAUAACCAAAUAUUCUAACUUCCCAGACUCCCCAUACCCACAGAGAAACAUAAUAUAUAUGUAGAAUGAGAGAUCUAUAUCUAUAGUGUAACUCCACCGAAGACAGAGAUUACAUCCUUUUAUAUUUUUACUCCAGAGAGACAAGCUGCCUGUACACCAGUUGGUUGCCUUAGAAACCACAGUCACAAAAAAGGAAAAGAAAGAAGCCAGAGAAGAAGGUGCCUUUUGAUUGGUCGGUCGGUUUCCCACCAUUUCAAGAUUCAUUGAUUCAGUUGGAUGUAAACUGCUGAAGCGAACUCGGGGAUUGAAAAGACGUAUCUCAUGACAGACUGAAACUCCCUUCACGAGCCCCACCCACCCAUCAAAGCGUUUUGAUUGACAGUGUUUCCCUGCUGGAUUGAUUACUUGUCGAUCAUCUCCAUGGUGAUCACAUCAUCAUCAUCAUCCGUGGAGGACAAGCCCGUGCCCUCUCUCAGGAUGGUCCAAACAGAACCCUGGAUUGCCUCUGCCCUGCUGCGCAAGAACAAGAGGACGUCUUUUUGGGAAUACCGCUGAAAAGUGAAGCCAACAGUUAGCUUAACAUUUGCUGACUUGCUAGUGGAAGUCUGAAAUGUUUACUUUACGGGAGGAGACGGGCCGAUGCAAAACUCAACAGCCAUCACGGCGUCGUGCCGACCAACAGC
ensembl:lncRNA